rnacentral:misc_RNA from 1 species
UUUUUUUUUUUUUUAAUCUAAACUCUUGCUUAGCAUAUUCAAUACAAUAUAGAAACCAAGCAGGAAUGUCCAAUACAUAGCAGCACACCACACAAAAUACCUACACAGAGUCCAAAAUGUAGUUUUCUCACAAGCCUAUCAAUAUAAUAUGUUAACACUUAUUUGUAGUAUGUAAUCGAUAUAUUGUGACCAUUGAUCAUGACGGGUUCAUGUAGAUCUAUCAUAAUCAAUGAUUAGAUGUAUUUAUUGCAUAUAUAACGGUUGCACUGAAUAAAUUCUCGUAGUUUGAGAGUUGAGACUUCAUUGGUCACACUGAAUCGAGUGAGUUGAAAUGGGUCCAUGCUUCCUGCAGAAUAUCGAAAACUUUUUCUGCUAUGUAUUUUUGAUGUGAUGCAGCACCUUUCUGCUGUAGUUUAUCUGGGUGUAGACUGAGUAAGGCCUUCUGGUAUGAUCUUUUCACUGCAUUUCCUUCAAUUAUAUCAACAAGAGGCACAGGCUUCCACCCGCUUUCAGGCCAAAGUACAUAUUGUAAAGUUGAGAGGAGGGAACGGAUGCUCCCUUCUUUUCCAUUUGACCACUUCCAAAUUUUAGCAUUAAUGACUUGGAUAUCUUCUUGGUUAUCACCAACUUGUGGCAGUUCAUCUCCAUCCUGAGGUAAUUCUUUAAUCAGGAUAUUUCCUUGGAAGGAAUCAUCUGGAUCUCCAGCUAUUGCUUCUGAGCCAUCAGAAAUUGGUCCUGCAGUUGGCGCUGACCCAUCCUCAAGUCCAGAAGAAAUCUCCAUGGACUUAUGGUCGUUGUUCCUUGUAUCAGAAUGUUGUUUCUCUAACAGCAUAAGAAACUCAUCUACCUGAAGCAUAUCAUUCAUUCAGAACUGUUCUGGAAAUUUUUUGGCAUUCAGAAAAUUAUAUAAUUGUAUGAAUUGUUAAUGCAAGGGCAAGCAAAACAAAUAUCGCCUUAAAGCUACCACAAUGUAAGCAUGGGGUGUAUUGUUUUUGUUUGCAUCAGGCAAGUGCACUUUCUCAUUUACCUGAGUUGAGGUAACACUUGCAUCAUCUUCUGUCUUGAAUUUGCCUCUCUCCUUCCAUCUAGAGCUUCGAGUUUGAGAGCCCACAUUGAAUUUGGGUUUGUUUGAAGCUUCCUGGUUAAAAAUUUUAACAAAUUCCCUGACUUUUCCCUUUCCUUGAUUCUUUGCAAGGCUAUCUCGUGAAUUCAUGGAUGAACCUUGUAAGUUGGUUUUAACCAUAACUUCACUAUUCAAUAUGACUCCUUUUCCAUCUCGUUUCUUUACUUUUUCACUGACAUCAAAUCCUGCUACUGACUUUUUGAUGCUUUUCACCUUGCUUUCCUUUAAUUCAUUUUUGGUAGUCAUCUCAUCGGUGGCUAUCAACAGAGAACGUAGUGUCUUUGACUCAGACUUGGGAGCUUCUUGUGUAGCCACAGAAAAUUUCUUCUCUAUUUUUCCAGAAAAGCCCGUACCAAGAACAGAACGAGGUUUUGUUUCUUUAUUUGAAUUCUGAAAGAUAACAUUACCAGGACCAUCUUCAUGAUGAGUGCUUGGGACUUCGGAGACAGAUUUAGGAAGAAUUGCCUCCUCAAGAUUCUGCACUUGUUCUAAUUUUCUAAGGGUCCUUCUAUUGAAAAGGGAGCCAUUCUCUUUUUUAUCAAAUUCAAUCUCAGAGGACUUAGCAUCUGACGAUGUGCUAAUAUUGGAUGAGAGGCAAUCGAUAUCCUGAGGAAUCACUGUCGGUAAUUCCUUUGCCAUACCUUCACAUGCUAUCCGUCCAGAAGCACUUGAACUCCUCUCAAAUUUAAACUUCUCUUUCCAUUUUGAACUAUUUCCCCCUCCAAGAGGCAAUGCUAGUGGUAUCCCUUUACUUGCCCAUUUGUAAAUAGAGAAGUGGAACUGGUUACCUAUGCUUGGACCUUCAGAACAAUUUGAAUCAAUUUUCAAAUCAUUGCCUUCGGCCAUUUCAUUAGGAUUCACAAUGUUUAAUGACUCUUCAAUGCUAAGAGAUUGCGCCUGCGAUAAAGAGCUCUGGAAAAAAACAUCAUUUCUCGACGGCCCCUGAGCUUGAUUUGCUUUGCUUGAAAAUCUAGACACAGGAGAAUAUGAAUAAAAGCUUAUUCCAGUUGAGGUACCAUCCUUAUUUCUGUGAUGAUUACGGGCACUGGAUCCAAAAGUUGGCAAGUCUUUCCCUUUAAUUAGUUUGGCAGGGAGGCUGAAUUGUGCUGGCACUGAUGAACUCGCAAAGGGCUCAGCCCUUGGUGGCAGGGGAUGAACAGGACUUAAAACUCUCGAACCUGGAGCGGAAGAGAAUGGAUCUCGAUUGUUCUUCCUUGGAGAAGAAGUGGAAUACUCAUUGCCUUUAAAAAUAUCAUCAAAGAAGUCAUCACUUGUAUAUCGCCUUCUACUAACCCCUUCCUCUCCAAAGACAGGCUUCUCGCUCAGACCAGACCACCGAGGGCGAUAUGAACUUGUUUCCUCAUCACUCCUUAAUGCAUAUGAAUCUUUACUUUCACUAAAGCCGUGUCGCACCUCCUGAAUUGACGGUCGCCUUGGAGGGCCACCGAACACAUCAUUGAAAUCAAUAUCUGAUGAGUUUCUACAGGGGCUUUUUGGAGAAGAAAUUGGAUGGUUCAUAGAGGAUCUUUGAGGGCUAUAACCCAAAAGAAUGCUCUCUUUCUCAGAAAACCUCUUCAUUUUUACUAGUACCAAUACCUUUGAGGAGACUAAUUCAAAAAGGAAAUUUGGCGGGAAAUCUCUUCGCAGCUAAGUGAUCUUGGAACUGCAGCAAAGGGGUAAUGGAGAUUGGCUGUUGCUGCUAAACUAGCACAGAUUUUGAGAUUUGAGAAUCUGAAUUGUUAAAAUUGGAAACUUGGAGAAGAUCUUGAAAGGGAAAAUACAGAAGGUGGGGUUAAGGUUGGUGUGGUUGAGUGUGAGGAUCUGUGUGUGUGUGUGUGGAUAAGGUGAAGAAAAUUCCAAAAGAAAAUAGUUAGGCUAAUUUUGUCUUGAAGAGGAAUUUGAGAAUUAGAUCUCUUGGUCACCGUUAACUAAGAUUCUUGUGAUACGACGCUCGUUUGGGUCAGUUUCCUACUAGCAUGACAGCCUGUGAUUGCCGUUAUAUGAAUGCAAGUCCUCGUGACAAUUUUGGACAGACAGAAGUGCUUUGACAAACACUGUCCACGUAAAUUAAAUGCCAAACCUAAAACCCAAGUAUUAUUGUUUAAGGAACUUCAAUUUUGUCGAAUGAUAUUUUGCGCAGUAACACAAGCUCAUCAGAGACGUGCGUGAUUGAAUAAAGCAACCAGCCCCAGGGCCGUUGGAAUUCAUGACUUGUGGCCCAUGUCCACCACUAUUUAUUACGUGUGAGUUAUUCAUGUCCGUUGCCAGUCAAUAUCCGCUCAUUGCUUAUCUGAGCUCCACAAGUUGGCAUAUCAAUCAUCCUGAAAAAACUUGAGCAAUAGAGCUUGCAACAAGUACAGUAAUAAGUACAUGGCCAAAUUUUCAUAGGAAAAAGAAGACAAAAACGUUCAUGAAAUUGUUGGUGCUCAUAAUAUACCACAAACAUAUCAAUGAAGGUAAUUGAAUGAAACUGAACUUUUAUGUUGCAGAACCAAUCUCAAGAAAAAACAAGGGAAAGUUCAUCUCACAUUAAAUUAAAUUAACCUACCUGUAACAUGUGAAUUAUAACAAGUGAUAUGAUGAGCCCAUCUGAUUGGUAACUACAGAAGAUUACAGGAGAAUUAGGCUUGCCCCAACAGAUGGGCUCAUCAUAUC